UCACAUUGGUGGUGACAUAACAGUGGUGGUGACAUCACAGUGGCUUGUAGCAUCACAGUGGCAGGAGAACAGGCGAGAGAAGAGCUCAUGUUAGCAAGACAGGGCGAGGCCAGGCUUGUUUUAUAACACCGUGUUCACCAGAGCUAAUUCAGGCCCACAAGGAUGAACUCAGCCUUCUGAAUACCAUGCCCCAGGGACCAGGAUGUCCCCAGCCCCGUGUCUUGCAAGUGCCACUACCUCUUACCAUUGUCACACUGAGCACUAAUCAAUCUUCUAACAGGUGGCAGAGAUUACAUUGGAUUAAGAUGUCCCCUAAAUUAGUGACGUGUGUCCUUAGGAGAGACACCGACGAGACCCUGAAGAGCGUGGAGAUGCCGGCAGCUGCCUGAAGCUGGAAAAGACGAGACAGUUUUUUUCCAGUGCCUUGUGGGCAGCAUGGGUCUGCAGAUGCCUUAAAUUUGAGCUUUCAGGCUCCGGCUUUCAGGCUCUGGUUCUGUGAGAGGACACAGUUCUGCCGUUUGAAGCUUUUCGGGUCAGUAAUCCUUUGUCACAGUAGCCACAGAAAACGCAUAUACCCACCAUUCCCAUUCGCCAUUUAACCUGGAUUCUCUUCUCCUGCUGUGAACACUUCACCAUGGGUUAGGCCCAUUUGUGUGAGAGGAGGGCCAGUCCUGCGUGCCCUCUCCCCUUCCUCAGCCCUCCCUCUGCUCUGGUCAGCACCACAGCAGAUGCGUGGAAGAAAAGCCCUUCCACGAGCUUCCAGGAGCAGACAACAUGGCCUGUCUCUCCCCUCUCGAGCUGCAGUGAGAGGCAGGUAAAAGCACUUUGGAUGUCAUGGAUAAAGUGAUGACUUUGA